CCCUUAGAUGUUCUGGGCCGCACGCGUGCUACACUGAGUGGAUCAGCGGGUCAGGUUGCGCGAAAGCGUUUCCUAAUCUUGAAAUCCGCUCGUGAUGGGGAUUGACGGUUGCAAUUUUCUGUCAUGAACGAGGAAUACCUUGUAAGCGCAAGUCAUCAUCCCGCGCUGAAUACGUCCCUGCCCUUUGUACACACCGCCCGUCGCUCCUACCGAUUGAGUGGUCCGGUGAGGCUUUGGGAUCUGAGCGGAAAGAGCGUUUCGCUCGUUCUGCCCGGAAAACUCAGUCGAACCUUAUCAUUUAGAGGAAGGAGAAGUCGUAACA
rnacentral:rRNA from 1 species